AAUCCUGCAUAGUUUCUCUUUAAGGGCUCCCCGACGGUUUCCUCGACCUUGUCUUCUCUCGGGUCCUUAAUCCGCAUUUCUGGCCUGAAGGCCUGACAUUGCACUGUGCACGUUUCCCACAUUUGCAAUGAGCAUCAUGUAGUCGGCAACUGUUUAUAUGAUAACAGCUUUUUCCCCUCUCAAGCAGGGAGGAAUAGGCUACCUAGAGAGAAAAACAACCUGACACAUGCACCUGUAACCCUUGGAACAAACUCUCAGCCUGAGGAUAGCCUGACAUAUAGCGCUGUGGCCUUAAAGGGAGGAAGCAACAACCACAGACAAGCCCAGGCUUCCACAGCAUCUCUAUCCACUGACUGCCCUAGUGUGACAUACUGCCACAUGCCCAGCCCUACAGAGCCUCUGGACACUGCUGGUGCUGCUGAUGUGGUCUACCGUGCUGCAAGAGUGCAAUGAGGGGUGUUAUUACCAAAACUGCUCAGCAGAGGGCAAUCAGCUCUCAAGUCCAAGAUGUUGGAGGCCAUAAAAAACACAAAAGACGCCACAGAUUUACUGUUAAACUUUGGCUUGGACUUCACAGUAAAGCAUUCUUGUUACAUUGUACCCCAAUAAACAAUGUACAAUAUGUAAAUGUAAGGCAUAAAUAAUAUUUCAUGAUAGGAUAAUAGCACCGUUUUGUUGUUGCUGUUCAGGGGAUUGUUUGGGAAUUCCUAUGUGAUGCAUACUGUAAAUCCAGAGUAUAUAGUGCUUAAAACAUUUGUGUUGCCAAUGUUCCAUGUCAUAUUACGACGGAACAAAUAAUUUUAUAGUUGUUCUACUGAAAGUGACAAACUCUCAAGCAGCUUGAAAGUCAUUUUGGUGGUAAACUAACUGAUAGGGACAAUGUUGUGUUUCCAAGUAAAACAUUGCUUUGGAUAUGUUUAAUACAUUAAAUAUUGAUGACUGGUAAACUUGUCCCUAGUAUGUUGUUUGCAAGAGAAAUAAAAUGUA